rnacentral:rRNA from 1 species
UCUAGUGUAGAGGUGAAAUUCGUAGAUAUUAGAAAGAAUACCAAUUGCGAAGGCAGCUUUCUGGAUCAUUACUGACACUGAGGAACGAAAGCAUGGGUAGCGAAGAGGAUUAGAUACCCUCGUAGUCCAUGCCGUAAACGAUGUGUGUUAGACGUUGGAAAUUUAUUUUCAGUGUCGCAGCGAAAGCGAUAAACACACCGCCUGGGGAGUACGACCGCAAGGUUAAAACUCAAAUGAAUUGACGGGGACCCGCACAAGUAGUGGAGCAUGUGGUUUAAUUCGAAGAUACGCGCAGAACCUUACCAACACUUGACAUGUUCGUCGCGACUUUGAGAGAUCAAAGUUUUCGGUUCGGCCGGACGAAACACAGGUGCUGCAUGGCUGUCGUCAGCUCGUGUCGUGAGAUGUUGGGUUAAGUCCCGCAACGAGCGCAACCCUCACUUUUAGUUGCCAUCAUUAAGUUGGGCACUCUGAAAGAACUGCCAGUGAUAAGCUGGAGGAAGGUGGGGAUGACGUCAAGUCCUCAUGGCCCUUACGUGUUGGGCUACACACGUGCUACAAUGGUAUCUACAACAGGAAGCAAGACUGCGAAGUUAAGCAAAUCCUUAAAAGAUACCUCAGUUCGGAUUGCACUCUGCAACUCGAGUGCAUGAAGCUGGAAUUACUAGUAAUCGUGGAUCAGCGUGCCACGGUGAAUGCGUUCCCGGGUCUUGUACACACCGCCCGUCACACCAUGGGAGUUGGUUCUACCUUAAGGCAAGGUUUCAAACCCUUGACCACGGUAUAGUCAGCGACUGGGGUGAAGUCGUAACAAGGUAGCCGUAGGGGAACCUGCGGCUG